AACGAGGAGGCCCAUUGAAAUUUAUUGAAACUGGAGUGCUUGCACAAAGGAAGAUUUAAAUGGAUUUGGAUUCCCUCCUAGUGGCAGACGGGUGAGUAACACGUGGGUAAUCUACCCCAGGGACUGGGAUAACGUUUGGAAACGAACGAUAAUACCGGAUGAUUCAUAUUUAGAUAACUAGAUAUGCUAAAAGGAGCUUCGGCUUCACCUUGGGAUGAGCUUGCGGUGUAUUAGCUAGUUGGUGAGGUAAUGGCUCACCAAGGCAACGAUGCAUAUCCGCGCUGAGAGGCUGAUCGGACACAUUGGGACUGAGACACGGCCCAGACUCCUACGGGAGACAGCAGUUAGGAAUAUUCGUCAAUGGGGGAAACCCUGAACGAGCAAUGCCGCGUGAGUGAUGACGGUCUUAUAGAUUGUAAAACUCUGUUGUAAAGGAAGAACACUUAUUAUAGGUAAUGAUGAUAAGUUGACGGUACUUUGCCAGAAAGCCCCGGCUAACUACGUGCC
rnacentral:rRNA from 1 species